rnacentral:rRNA from 1 species
UACGUAGGGUCCGAGCGUUGUCCGGAAUUACUGGGCGUAAAGAGCUCGUAGGUGGUUUGUCGCGUUGUCCGUGAAAACUCACAGCUCAACUGUGGGCGUGCGGGCGAUACGGGCAGACUGGAGUACUGCAGGGGAGACUGGAAUUCCUGGUGUAGCGGUGGAAUGCGCAGAUAUCAGGAGGAACACCGGUGGCGAAGGCGGGUCUCUGGGCAGUAACUGACGCUGAGGCGCGAAAGCGUGGGGAGCAAACAGG